rnacentral:rRNA from 1 species
CCUACGGGUGGCAGCAGUGGGGAAUAUUGCACAAUGGGGGAAACCCUGAUGCAGCGACGCCGCGUGAGUGAAGAAGUACUUCGUUAUGUAAAGCUCUAUCAGCAGGGAAGAAAAUGACGGUACCUGAGUAAGACGCCACGGCUAACUACGUGCCAGCAGCCGCGGUAAUACGUAGGGGGCAAGCGUUAUCCGGAUUUACUGGGUGUAAAGGGAGCGUAGACGGCAGUGAAAGUCUGGAGUGAAAGGCGGGGGCUCAACCCCCGGACUGCACUUGAAACUGGACGGCUUGAGUGCAGAAGAGGUAAGUGGAAUUCGUAGUGUAGCGGUGAAAUGCGUAGAUAUUAGGAGGAACACCAGUGGCGAAGGCAGCUUACUGGACUGUAACUGACGUUGAGGCUCGAAGGCGUGGGGAGCAAACAGGAUUAGAUACCCUGGUAGUC